AGGAAUUUGAAGAGGAGGAUUUUUAAGUCAAAUUAAUUACCUUCUGCCCCAGGGAAAGGGAACCAAUAAAUAUGCAGAGAUAUCAUCCUUUGAGUUUUGUAGGUUAAAAGGUGAUAGAGCAGCUGGUGUUUUCUGGGGGAGCUGGAGGAAGGGGGUAUAGAUGAUGGACUGUGAUAGGAAGUUAUUUGUUACUUUGUUUGAAAUACUAUAUUAUAAAUUCCAUGAAUACUUUAAAUGUGCAAGUGUGCUUAAUGUACACUAUUGAGAACAAAAUGUAAAUGGUUUGGGCAUUCUAUGGUACUUCACUGUUCUGUUACAGUGAAUACUUGCCAACUGACUUCCUGUAUAUUAAAUUAAUAUCCUGUUAACAAAAAUUAUGACAAGUGAAUACUACUUAUACUUCUGUCAUUUCAGCAAAAGACAGAAAUAAUAUAUCAAAAUGAAAAUAACAUACUGAACUUUUGUAAAUUUUAGAUUAGAGCCCCAAAUUUUUUUUUCAUGAUGGAUGUUAAUUUAAAUGAAUAAAAAUGAUUUUAUGUAAAGAGAAGCUAAUCUUUGAUGCAGGUUGCAAGAUAACUGCUUGCUACUGGGAACUUAAAUUAAAAAAAAAAAUUGGAUAGGCUCGCCAUUCUAGUUUUUUGUUUGUUUGUUUGUUUUUGUUUUUUUUUUUUUGAGACAGAGUCUCACUCCAUUGCUUAGGCUGUAGUGCAGUGGCAUGAUCUCAGCUCAC
rnacentral:lncRNA from 1 species